rnacentral:rRNA from 1 species
AUACGGGGGGUGCAAGCGUUAAUCGGAAUUACUGGGCGUAAAGCGCGCGUAGGCGGUUUGCUCAGUCGGAUGUGAAAGCCCAGGGCUCAACCUUGGAACUGCAUACGAUACUGGGAAACUAGAGUGUGAGAGAGGAUAGUGGAAUUUCCGGUGUAGCGGUGAAAUGCGUAGAUAUCGGAAGGAACAUCAGUGGCGAAGGCGACUGUCUGGCUCAACACUGACGCUGAGGUGCGAAAGCGUGGGUAGCAAACAGGAUUAGAUACCCUAGUAGUCC